UAUGUAUAAUAUACAGUCUGUACUAUACGGGAUCCGGAGAAAUAUUUUAACGUGUAUGUAAAUAGUUGUAUUAGUCAUUGUUAUAAAAGUAUAUGUUUUAUUCAGAUAUCCGGAAUUAUAAGUUGCGGCGGUAGUCGGGAAGACACCCCAGUCUCACCCACAGGGGUGUAUAUCCUAGAUAGAUAUAAAUAUCACAAAUCCAUUGGCCGAAUAAACGUCUCUCACCCGUA